UACGAAGGGGGCUAGCGUUGCUCGGAAUCACUGGGCGUAAAGCGCACGUAGGCGGACUCUUAAGUCGGUGGUGAAAUCCUGGAGCUCAACCCCAGAACUGCCUUUGAUACUGGCGAUCUUGAGUCCGGGAGAGGUGAGUGGAACUGCGAGUGUAGAGGUGAAAUUCGUAGAUAUUCGCAAGAACACCAGUGGCGAAGGCGGCUCACUGGCCCGAUACUGACGCUGAGGCACGAAAGCGUGGGGAGCAAACAGG
rnacentral:rRNA from 1 species